UACGUAGGGGGCUAGCGUUGUCCGGAUUUAUUGGGCGUAAAGAGCGUGUAGGCGGCCAGGUAGGUCUGCUGUGAAAACUCGAGGCUCAACCUCGAGACGUCGGCGGAAACCAUCUGGCUAGAGUCCGGAAGAGGAGAGUGGAAUUCCUGGUGUAGCGGCGAAAUGCGCAGAUAUCAGGAGGAACACCAAUAGCGAAGGCAGCUCGCUGGGACGUUACUGACACUGAGGCGCGAAAGCGUGGGGAGCGAACAGG
rnacentral:rRNA from 1 species